rnacentral:rRNA from 1 species
GACGAACGCUGGCGGCGCGCCUAACACAUGCAAGUCGAACGAGCGAGAGAGAGCUUGCUUUCUCAAGCGAGUGGCGAAAGGGUGAGUAACGCGUUAGGAACCUGCCUCACAGAGGGGGACAACAGUUGGUAACGACUGCUAAUACCGCAUAAGCCCACAGCUCGGCAUCGAUCAGAGGGCAAAGGAGCAAUCCGCUUUGAGAUGGCCUCGCGUCCGAUUAGCUAGUUGGUGAGGUAACGGCCCACCAAGGCAACGAUCGGUAGCCGGACUGAGAGGUUGAACGGCCACAUUGGGACUGAGACACGGCCCAGACUCCUACGGGAGGCAGCAGUGGGGAAUAUUGCACAAUGGGGGAAACCCUGAUGCAGCGACGCCGCGUGGAGGAAGAAGGUCUUCGGAUUGUAAACUCCUGUUGUGGAGGAAGAUAAUGACGGUACUCAACAAGGAAGUGACGGCUAACUACGUG